rnacentral:rRNA from 4 species
AGACCCGAAACCCGGUGAUCUAGCCAUGGGCAGGUUGAAGGUUGGGUAACACUAACUGGAGGACCGAACCGACUAAUGUUGAAAAAUUAGCGGAUGACCUGUGGCUGGGGGUGAAAGGCCAAUCAAACCGGGAGAUAGCUGGUUCUCCCCGAAAGCUAUUUAGGUAGCGCCUCGUGAAUUCAUCUCCGGGGGUAGAGCACUGUUUCGGCUAGGGGGCCAUCCCGGCUUACCAACCCGAUGCAAACUGCGAAUACCGGAGAAUGUUAUCACGGGAGACACACGGCGGGUGCUAACGUCCGUCGUGAAGAGGGAAACAACCCAGACCGCCAGCUAAGGUCCCAAAGUCAUGGUUAAGUGGGAAACGAUGUGGGAAGGCCCAGACAGCCAGGAUGUUGGCUUAGAAGCAGCCAUCAUUUAAAGAAAGCGUAAUAGCUCACUGGUCGAGUCGGCCUGCGCGGAAGAUGUAACGGGGCUAAACCAUGCACCGAAGCUGCGGCAGCGAACGUAUCACCCAAGACAACUUUACGGAGUUGACGAUUGACGGAGCGAAGCGACGUCAAAGCGUUCAUUAAAGUCGAGUUGGCUUAGGGAUACGUUCGUUGGGUAGGGGAGCGUUCUGUAAGCCUGUGAAGGUGUGUCGUGAGGCAUGCUGGAGGUAUCAGAAGUGCGAAUGCUGACAUAAGUAACGAUAAAGCGGGUGAAAAGCCCGCUCGCCGGAAGACCAAGGGUUCCUGUCCAACGUUAAUCGGGGCAGGGUGAGUCGACCCCUAAGGCGAGGCCGAAAGGCGUAGUCGAUGGGAAACGGGUUAAUAUUCCCGUACUUGGUGUUACUGCGAAGGGGGGACGGAGAAGGCUAUGUUGGCCGGGCGACGGUUGUCCCGGUUUAAGCGUGUAGGUGUGUGUUCCAGGUAAAUCCGGUUCACUUUAACACUGAGGCGUGACGAC